rnacentral:rRNA from 1 species
AAUAUUGACCAAUGGUCGAGAGGACUGAUCCAGCCAUGCCGCGUGCAGGAUGACGGCCUUAUGGGGUGUAAACUGCUUUUCGGGAGGAAGAAUAAUAUGGAGGCGUCAAUAGAUGACGGUACUUCGGGAAUAAGCAUCGGCUAACUCCGUGCCAGCAGCCGCGGUAAUACGGAGGAUGCAAGCGUUAUCCGGAAUCAUUGGGUUUAAAGGGUCCGUAGGCGGGCUGUUAAGUCAGUGGUGAAAUACUCCGGCUCAACCGGAGAGGGGCCAUUGAUACUGACAGUCUGGAAUGGAUAAGAAGUAAUUAGAAUGUGUAGUGUAGCGGUGAAAUGCAUAGAUAUUACACAGAAUACCGAUUGCGAAGGCAGAUUACUAUUAUUCCAUUGACGCUGAUGGACGAAAGCGUGGGGAGCGAACAGGAUUAGAUACCCUGGUAGUCCACGCCGUA